rnacentral:rRNA from 1 species
GACGAACGCUGGCGGCGUGCUUAACACAUGCAAGUCGAACGAAGUGGCGGACGGGUGAGUAACGCGUAAGCAACCUGCCCUUCAGAGGGUGACAACAGUUGGAAACGACUGCUAAUACCGCAUACGGAGGGCGGGGAUUGGGUUGGUGUAGCUCGUGGGAGGGGUAAUGGCCCACCAAGGCGAUGAUCAGUAGCCGGGCUGAGGAGAUGAACGGCCACAAUGGGACUGAGACACGGCCCAUACUCCUACGGGAGGCAGCAGUGGGGAAUCGUCCGCAAUGGACGAAAGUCUGACGGAGCAACGCCGCGUGAGUGAUGACGGCCGUCGGGUUGUAAAGCUCUGUUAAUCGGGACGCGGUACCGGAAUAGAAAGCCACGGCUAACUACGUGCCAGCAGCCGCGGUAAUAC